CCUACGGGAGGCAGCAGUGGGGAAUUUUGGACAAUGGGCGAAAGCCUGAUCCAGCAAUGCCGCGUGAGUGAAGAAGGCCUUCGGGUUGUAAAGCUCUUUUGUCAGGGAAGAAACGGUGAGGGCUAAUAUCUCUUGCUAAUGACGGUACCUGAAGAAUAAGCACCGGCUAACUACGUGCCAGCAGCCGCGGUAAUACGUAGGGUGCAAGCGUUAAUCGGAAUUACUGGGCGUAAAGCGUGCGCAGGCGGUUUUGUAAGUCUGUCGUGAAAUCCCCGGGCUCAACCUGGGAAUUGCGAUGGAGACUGCAAGGCUAGAAUCUGGCAGAGGGGGUAGAAUUCCACGUGUAGCAGUGAAAUGCGUAGAGAUGUGGAGGAACACCGAUGGCGAAGGCAGCCCCCUGGGUCAAGAUUGACGCUCAUGCACGAAAGCGUGGGGAGCAAACAGGAUUAGAUACCCUGGUAGUCCACGCCCUAAACGAUGUCUACUAGUUGUCGGGUUUAAUUACUUGGUAACGCAGCUAACGCGUGAAGUAGACCGCCUGGGGAGUACGGUCGCAAGAUUAAAACUAAGGAAUUGACGGNNGNGAGNGCGAGAGACGAGAGGAGAG
rnacentral:rRNA from 1 species